CGUAGGUGAACCUGCGGAAGGAUCAUUAUUGAAUUUUUUGGUGGUGGAUUGUUGCUGGCCUUUGGGUAUGUGCACAUCCUCCUCUGAUUCUAUUCAUCCACCUGUGCACUUUUUGUAGGAGUUCUUUCAUCAGGUUUUGAACAGGUGCUCAUUACGAGUUAACUUGGGAAGGACUAGUUGAAAAGACUUCUAUGUUCUUAUAAACUAUUGAAGUAUGUUAUAGAAUGAUUUUGUUAUUGGGACUUUAUUGACCCUUUAAACUUAAUACAACUUUCAGCAACGGAUCUCUUGGCUCUCCCAUCGAUGAAGAACGCAGCGAAAUGCGAUAAGUAAUGUGAAUUGCAGAAUUCAGUGAAUCAUCGAAUCUUUGAACGCACCUUGCGCCCUCUGGUAUUCCGGAGGGCAUGCCUGUUUGAGUGUCAUUAAAUUCUCAACUUUAUAAGUUUUUACUUAUUAAAGCUUGGAUAUUGGAGGUUUGCAGGCGUUUGUCAGCUCCUCUUAAAUUUAUUAGUGGAACCCUGUUUUGUUGGUUUUCAACCUUGGUGUGAUAACUAUCUACAUUUUGGUUUGUAAUCUUACAAUAAUAAAGCUCUAUUGGUUUGGGUUGUUGCAUUUUAGUAUGCUCAAUCUGUUCUACUCAUUGGAGAAAAAGGGAAAGUCUGCUUUCUAACUGUCUUUAUUGACUAUAUAUAACUUAUUUGCUGACCUCAAAUCA
rnacentral:rRNA from 1 species